UCACGUUUCCGUUGGUUGCUGUGGCGCUAUCUUGACUAGCCGCUGGCCAGCGAGCGCUGCACACAGGUGAUUACUCGCCACCAAGCCCCACGUAGAUGGAUGUGCAGGGCUCCUGACCAGGGUUUGGCUAGGGGGGGACGCAGGAGGGACCUGCUGGGAAAUUUUCUAUCAGACAGCAAAAUGAGUAGCGGUUAAGAGAGGCCACAUUCAACCAUAAUAUGAGCCCAUUACAUAAGGGAAUUUAUGGAUCUAUAUUUAAGAAUCAUGAACAGGCCCAAUGCUGUCUACUAUCUACUUUGACACCUGAGAUAAGAGCUGGUGUUUUAGAACAACCUACCAGACAUCUCUAAAAGUCACCACUGGACGGCGAUUUAACCAGCAGAUAAGUCUCGAUGUGAAAAAGAAGAUAUGAGAAGAAUGAGAGUGCAAUCAGAUAGCUGCGUGUCCCACCAGUCUGAAAUCCUGGAUUAACUUCUUCAACCCUGACGAUCUGAGCAGCAUGAGCUGCUCCGUGCGUGUUUGUGUCCCUUGUCUGUGAGAGGGAUGAGUCAACAGGGACUAAACAGGACUCAAGUCAUGGUCAGGGAUGAUCAUAUCCCUAGACACCUUAGACUAGAAUAUAUCACUGCAACAUUUGCCCUUUUGUUUGCUCAUUUUGUGAAUUGGUUUCUGUUCUAAAUUGAAGAAAUUGAAAGCCUCUAUUGUCAUUGUAUAGCUCUGCAUACAAUGACAUUUCUAAGAUGACAUUUCAAAAUAUGAAACAGUUAUCAUGCUUUUACAAAAUGUUUAACCAUACAAUACAGCAUAACAUAUUUGUCUACAAGGCAUGGAUCUCCGUUCACAUCGGACAUUUCUUUGUUCUCCGUCGGUCUAAACAGACCUCCUGGGACAAAACACAGGGCCAAGUCUUGAAGCCAUGAGGACCGGGGGUCGGCCAGAGCCCUGGCUUAGGCGUAUUUGGCAGGCCAGUCUCAGGGCUCCUCUGUGUCCCGCCACCAGCUGUAAAUGAGAUGUGACAGGCACACGGCUCAGCUGGAACGGGAACCGGCCUCUAAACAAACACGGGCAGCAGCAGCAGUGGCACGCCGGUUCCCAGAGUAGACCACACAAAGUCCGUCCACCACAAUGGACGCGCAGCGGAAAGCAAGUCGUCACUUUUCCAAAGGUCCACUCGAAAUGGCGCCAAUGAUAACGAUCAGCCAAAACCACAUGAAACGCAAAAAUCAACAGGCAAUUACACAAUUAGGGCUGUAGGGGAGCGAUAAAGAACCCAAACGGCAAUGUUCACAGCCACAGGCAAACAAAUGUUUUCUUUCUGUUUUUCUUUCUUUGUUGUUUUCCCUCUUUUUUUUCUUUGUUGUCUUUUUUUCUCUAGUGCCUCUAAAUAUGGUCAGUGUCCGGGAGACAUGAGAAAUUAGAUGACUGUCAUUUAAAGCUGUUGCUCACUGCUUCAGAAUGGUCUUUCUCUGAAAAAAGAAGUUGAAAUCAAGGAAGGAAUCUAUGAUAUCUGCCCUUCUCCUGAUUUGCUCACAUUUCUCACAUAUUUCUGUAGUGCUGGCGGAACAGGAAAUUUACACAAAUGAGUCGUCUGUGAGCCCUGUGCAGACUUUUUUUUAGACUAAUUUAUCAGGGACUCCAACUCAUUCCAUGCUCGGCAGAUUCUCUACCUGAGCUCAUGGAGGAGUGGAGCCCACUGCCAAAUACUUUAGCAAUCAAUAAACUGUUUUUGGCCUUUCUCUGUAUUUUAA